rnacentral:tRNA from 1 species
GGAGCAGUAGCUCAGCUGGAUAGAGCAACAGCCUUCUAAGCUGUCGGUCCUGGGUUCGAAUCCCAGCCGCUUCA